UCUCGUCUCCACCCACUCCAUCAUUGAUACCAAGAUGGCUUCAAGUCAAGUGACGCUGUUUUCUGAUUCCAAGCCACUUGGGUCAGAGGAUAUAGAUAAUCAAGUGCUGUUGAUGCCAAAGGAAGAAAAACAAAUGGACUUGAAACUGAUCGAAUGCGUCAGAAAGCCAUUUUUGCAGAUGAAGAUGGAUGUGGAGAUAGUGAUGAUGAAGAUGAAAUUUCUGAAGAUGACAGAUUGGAAACCAUCUCUAGUGAUGAGGAAGCAGAAGAGGAGGAAAACGCUGAGGUGACUGAUCAGUAUAUGACUGCUAAGGGCAUCAAACGAGGGAAGCUUGAAGAGUUGGAAUAAGACAGUGAAGUAGAUUUGCCAGCAUUUGCUGACUGUGAUGAUGAGCUUGAGGGGAGCUCAGCAGAAGGAGAAGUGGAAUAAGCUGGGGAAAGCAGUGAGGAAGAGGACUGCACUGCAGGAGAGAGGGGCAUUUCAGGAUCAAAGACUGUUGGAGAAGGUAGUAAAGCAGAGCUGUCACCACCUAAUCCCCAGAGUGACCCUGUAAAUCUGGAGAAGUCUUUGUCGAUGAAGAAAGCAGCCCUCACCUCAUCGUUUCUGGGCAUUGCACAGCUGACGAGGCAUUUGCAUCUGAAGAUGAAUCUGAAGAAAGCUCUUCACUCAGUGCAGAGGAAGAGGACCUGGAAAAUGAGGGCACUUUUAGGAAAAAGAUUUCAGAGCCUUCUCAAGUGGGCAGUGGUCAGAAACUGGGGUGAAGAAACUUAAUUGAUGAGACCAAAGAUAUGGAAGAUUUACUCAAAGAAGAAGAUUGCAAGGAAGAGAAGAAGGAGUCCACAGAAGCCUCAGGUGCCCUCAAGUGGAAGGAAGACCUUUCCAGAAAGGCGCUGAGGCCUUUCUGAGGCAGCAACAAGCAGCUCCAAACCUCUGAAAGCUUAUUUAUGGGACAGUGACAGAAGAUAACGAAGAAGAUUAUGAUACCUGAGAAGAGCUUGGAGGGUUGUUUCGUGUCAGCCAGCCUGACAGCGUGGAAGCACAAGGCCGACUCUUUGGACUGCUUCAGAUUUCUUGUGGAGGUGCCCCAUGACUGGGAUUUAGAGGAGCAAAACUUCUUCCCAGGUGGUGGUGUUUUCUUAUUGGGAGGCACAUAAAGACUGGUUGUGUCAUUUUAAUGGCAUGAGAUGGAGAGAUGGUCUAAUCUGCCAUACACUGCGAUACACUGGGACAGUGGCCAGUGAUUUGAACUUUGUGGCAUAGAUGGAAACUUCCAGGUUUUCUUGGUGGUAGGCAGAGGCCUCAGUUUUUAAGAAACUCCCCAGCUUCACCCCUGCCAAUGAGGACGUUGAUUGAGGAUAUUCCUAUCAAUUUUAAGUAGAAGAGAUUGUUUCUUGAUGUUGAAUUUCAGGUAAGGAAUCUAGCUCCUGCAUAUUGCGGUGGUGGUGCUUGGGCUGAGACAGGUCUAGAGAGCACGGUCUGAAAAGGGGCUCAAGGCAGUAGCUGUGAAAGACCCCUGGGAUGUUUUCUGCUCCCCUCUCUGCAAAUACCCUGGAGGGAGAUCCCGUUAGUCACUAUGGGGGUGUGUGUGUGUGUUCAUCACUUGUUUUAUUUUCAUUUUUGUUUUUCUGCAUAAAGUCUGCAGACUUUCCAACAGUACCUUGAUGUUUUCUGAAAGCAGAGCCGAUGUGCACACUCUAGGGCCUGAGGCCUCAAUUCGGUGGUAUUUACUCGGGACUGGUGUGUUCCUACAAACCGUGUGAUGGGGUCAGGGCCCAAGAACACUGGUUUCUGUGUCCUGUUUCUGUGUUAAAAAGACAUUUCAUUCAACUGGAUAACAGGCCAAGUCUAGUGGAGAAAAGGUCUACUCUGCCAUAGGAUGGGGCCGCAGCCAGCAGUUCAGAAGACUGUUGUGUGUCUGGAUAUUUCCAGAGCCUCCAGUUGCUGGCAGAGGGCCAGAAGGUAGGGUGCAUUUGUGUGCAGAUGAGAGGAGGGGGUCUGUUCACCCCGAUGUGAUGUUGGCCAUGUGUGGGCCCUUGAGUUUUCAGGGUUGGAUGUCCUGACUGACACUGCCAUAGGAGGGUGUAAGAGGCUGAGAGUGAUGCAACUGUAGGCUGUGUGGAUGAUGUUCACAGGAAGCCUCCCUGCUGCCUGUGGCAAGAGCACAGAGUGAAAUGCUUGGAGCUGGGAAGAGGCAAUAAAAGCCUACAGAAUCUAUUCCCAGUUCAUCUCCCAUCCUAGUCCUAUCAUGGCCUAACAUCCUUAGCUACCGGUUGCAGAGGAGAUUCUGCACAUUUGUGGUCAUGUGGCCUUGGAUGCUGGCUGAUUCACAUUGGUGCCCCUGGCAUCUGUGACUGCAUCUGCAGUUUCAACGGGCUCAGGAACAGGCUAAAGGGCCUCCAAGCUUCCUCCAGUUUCCAUGUAUAUGCAUGUGGAAUAUACUCUCUUGGCCUGGGUCUUUCCUGCCUUUUCUUGCCAAUUGGGUGAUAUCUAGCUUAUUAACCAGUGUUUUUUGAGCUUUAAUAGAACUGGCUCAGACCAGUUGGAGACCUGAAAAGGGCUAUGUGAUAGACAUUUAUUUUAGAGUAGUUUCAAAUGUACAGCAAAAUGGAGUACAGAGUCCAAAGUUCCCAUAUGCCCUCGAUUCCUGUACACGCUUGGGUCACUCCACUAGCAACCUCCUAUACCAGAGUAGAAUAUUUGUUAUAGUCAUGAACUUAUACUGACAUGUCAUCAUCACCCAGAGUGAUACCCUUGAUGAUGCCCAUUCUGAGGGUUUGGAGAAAUGUAUAACGAGUGUAUGUAUAAUGAAUGUGUCAUCAUAGCUGUUAUGAUAUCCUGCAGUAUAUUUUCACUAUGGUAAUUAUCUUGUGCUCUACUUAUUUAUUCUCUCUUUUCCUAACCACCGCAAACCACUAAUCUUUUCAGUCUCCAUAGUUUUGCAUUUUUCUGAACGUUAUGUUCUUGGAAUCAUAGAGCAGAUAGCUUUCCAGAUUGGCUUCUUUCAGUUAGUAAUGUGCAUUUAACAUUCCUCAGUGUCUUCUGAUGGCUCAAUAGCUCAUUUCUUUUUAGAAGUAAUUAAUAUUUCAUUUUCUAAAUAUACCACAGUGUUAUUUAUCAGUUAAGCUACUGAAGGACAACUUAGUUCUUCCUGUGUUUUGGUAGCUAUUUUAGAAACUGCUAUAAUAAAUAUCUGUGUGCAGGUUUUUGUGUGGACAGCAGCUUUCUGGUCAUUUGAAUAAAGACCUAGGGAGUGCAACUGCUGGAUCACAUAGUAAAUGUAUGUGUAGUUUUGUAAGAAACUGCCCAUAUUAGGAGAGUCUUUCCGAUGGUAGAGGAGAACAUGUUAACAUACUGAAGAAUCAGUCUAUCAGAAGGAGAUAGAACUUGAGGAUCUAUA